CUGCGUGAAGUUGGAAUUGCUAGUAAUCGCGGAUCAGCAUGCCGCGGUGAAUACGUUCCCGGGCCUUGUACACACCGCCCGUCACACCAUGGGAGCCGGUAAUACCCGAAGUCAGUAGCCUAACCGCAAGGGGGGCGCUGCCGAAGGUAGGAUUGGCGACUGGGGUGAAGUCGUAACAAGGUACC
rnacentral:rRNA from 1 species